UCAACGCCGGAAAUCUCACCGGGAGCGACAGCAGUAUGAAGGCCAGAUUAGAAGGUCUUGCUAGACGAGCUGAGAGGAGGUGCAUGGCCGUCGCCAGUUCGUGCCGUGAGGUGUCCUGUUAAGUCAGGCAACGAUCGAGACCCGCGUNCUCUGUUGCAACUAGCUUUGUGCUGGGCACACUGAGGAGACCGCCACUGAUAAAGUGGAGGAAGGAGCGGGCCACGGCAGGUCAGUAUGCCCCGAAUCUCCCGGGCCACACGCGAGCUGCAAUGGCAGGUACAAUGGGUUCCGACCUCGAAAGGGGAAGGCAAUCUCGAAAGCCUGCCGUAGUUGGGAUCGAGGGCUGAAACCCGCCCUCGUGAACNUGGAAUCCCUAGUAAUCGCGUGUCNUUAGCGCGCGGUGAAUACGUCCCUGCUCC
rnacentral:rRNA from 1 species